rnacentral:misc_RNA from 1 species
CUCUCUCUCCCUCUCUCUCUCUCACACACACACGCGCGUGCUAGCGCGCAUGCGCGCGAAUUCCACAAUGCAGCAAAAAAUGGGCCAACAGUGAAAAACAACUUCAUGUAUUAGCAAACAAAUAGAUCAGCAGAACUGGUGACUGUAAGCCGUGAUUUUAGUUCUAAAAUUCUCCCGAGGAAAACACCUAACAAGGUGUGAUAUCAACUAGACUUAUGUUAGACCAUUCAUAUUUAUAACAUCAAGAACAUUAGCAUCAAUGUUUUUAAAAUCCAAAAUAAAAAAGAAAUGAUGUUAAAAAAAAAAACUUAAAAAACAUGAUCCUAUAUUCCUACCAAAUAGCAAUAAUACCUAAAGCAACCGAAGACAUCCAUCAUGGCUUUUGAAAAGGGUUAUGAAAGGUGAAAGGCAUUCACAAAAGGAGAAAACUAGAUGACAAAAAAAUGAACCAAGAGAUGGGCAGCAGAAACAAAACUCGCAGAAUGAAGGAAAGAGGUUGGGUUGGGGUGGGGGGGGGGGGGG